AGAGUUUGAUUCUGGCUCAGGAUGAACGCUAGCUACAGGCUUAACACAUGCAAGUCGAGGGGCAGCGAGAAGGAAGCUUGCUUCUUGUCGGCGACCGGCGCACGGGUGAGUAACGCGUAUCCAACCUUCCCCUUAGUAGGGCAUAGCCCGUAGAAAUGCGGAUUAAUACCCUAUGUUGUUCGAUGCGGACAUCUAAGUUGAACCAAAGGUUUACCGCUAAGGGAUGGGGAUGCGUCCGAUUAGGCAGCAGGCGGGGUAACGGCCCACCUGGCCAACGAUCGGUAGGGGUUCUGAGAGGAAGGUCCCCCACAUUGGAACUGAGACACGGUCCAAACUCCUACGGGAGGCAGCAGUGAGGAAUAUUGGUCAAUGGGCGCGAGCCUGAACCAGCCAAGUAGCGUUGCAGGACGACGGCCCUAUGGGUUGUAAACUGUCUUUUAUGCGGGGAUAAAGUGACGUACGUGUACGUUUUUGUAGGUACCGCAUGAAUAAGGACCGGCUAAUUCCGUGCCAGCAGCAGC
rnacentral:rRNA from 1 species